CUGGCAGAGGUGGUUGGGGCUAUGUGCCUGGAGUGAAGAUUCUGCCCAUUGGUCAAGAGACCUCCCUCUCAGAUGCUGGCUCUGCCCCUGCCUUUGGGGGUCGACCCUUGUACUCGCAGGACCUUAGGUGACUCUAGAUGAGGUUUCACCAUGUUGGCCAGGCUGGUCCCAAACUCCUGACCUCAGGUGAUCCGCCCACCUCGGCCCCUACAAAGUGCUGGGAUUACAGGCAUGAGCUACCACGCCUGGCCUCAACUGGUGUCUUACAUGCAGGACUUUGUCAAAGGAAAAAUUUCUGCAUGUGCACACACAGAUCUUGGAAGUUUAUUCAUCUCAGCAGAGGCAGACAGGAGCAUCAACAGCCUUGGGGACAGCAGCAGUGGUGGCAGGGCAAAAUAAAACUUAUAUGAAACUGCAAUCACUAACGUGUGAAAAUGGAAGAUUCAGGAAGUGUUUCGUAUCUGAAAUAUGAACCAAGGUGGAAUCAACAUGCAUCCAAACAGGACU
rnacentral:antisense_RNA from 1 species